CAACCUUUGCCUCGGGGAGGACUCGGUACAAUUAUUCUUACUCUUACAUUACAGAGAGAGAGAGAGAGAGAGGAGCACGUGCGGGCAAUUUGUCGCGGUCAGAAAGAGAGAGAGAGAGCGCGUUGGUUGUGAUCAAUUGAAGCAAACACCAAUUAAAAUCGAACCAAUCCUCUUCCUCCUCCUCCUCCUCCCCCUUCCGGUAUGAAAUCCCCCCAAUUUUGAAUGGAAAACCUAACCCUAGCCCCUAAAAUUACCACCCCGUCCUCCUAUCCAUCCUCCAAAUGCGGCCUUCUUCCUCUUCCCCAUUCCCCAAUUUACACUUUCUCCACCAUCUUCUUUGCUUUCGCUGGGGGUUGACCUAUUAAGUAUUAACCUUCCUCCACCACCCGCCUCCAUUUUUCCCCUCUCUCUCUCUCUCUCUCUCUCUCUCUCUCUCUCUCUCGGUUAUAAGUUUAUGGACAGACUAUAGUGCUGCUUCUUACUCCUGUCUCCUUUGUACUUCUUCUUUCCUUCUGUAUCUUUAAUCUUUCUUUAUUUGUCAUUAGUAAGACGUAAAAUUAUACACAGACUGAGAGAGUGAGAGAUAGAGAAAGAGAGAGAUGUUGUAGAGUACAAUUUAGUCAUCAGAGCCUAUUAGGAUCAGUCAGUCGGGAGUGCUUCAUAAUAUAGGAUCAGUCAGUCAGGACUCCGUAGCGAAGUCUAUAGUAAGUGUAUAGUUUGUAAUUAGAAAAAAAAAAAAAAACCAAAUUUUUUUUUUAAUUGCUGGUAAUUGUAGUUCAGCUAUAGAUUGCAUAAAUACAUAGAUACAUCUAUAACUAUUUACCAUAUAAUCAUUACUCGAUUGAGCCAGCUCCAGCUACUUAAGCCUGGAGAGCAAUGGGUAGCUCAGAAACAGGAGCCGGAGCUGAUUGCAGCAUUGGGAGUAUAGUUUGGGUCCGAAGACGAAACGGGUCUUGGUGGCCCGGUAAAAUACUCGGACCUGACGACCUAUCGGCUUCUCAUGUUAUGUCUCCGCGAUCUGGAACUCCUGUCAAACUUCUUGGCCGAGAAGACGCCAGUGUAGACUGGUAUAAUUUGGAGAAGUCAAAGCGUGUGAAGGCAUUUCGAUGUGGUGAGUUUGAUGACUGUAUUGAAAGGGCCGAAGCUUCCCAAGGUAUGCCUCCAAAGAAGAGAGAGAAAUAUGCACGUAGAGAAGAUGCAAUACUUCAUGCUCUUGAACUUGAGAGGCAAAUGUUGGAGAAAAAAUGUGGAAAAGUAGGUUCUUCUACUAAUGAUGAGGCACCAUACUGUCUGAGGAAAGAUUUGGUGACAACUUCAGAGAAAUCAGAGACUGGAAAACAAAAAAUUUUGCAACCAGAAACUGAUCAAGUUUGUCAGAGUCAUUGUCUAUCUGCCAAGGAUAAGGCUGUGAGCCAAACUAUUUGUCUAGAGAGAGUCAAAGAAGAAAAUCAAAUAACUGUUGAUGAUGACAAUUCUGCUGUGCCACCCAGGAUGAGAGGUUUGCAGGACCUUGGUCUGCGUGCUGUGCCUUCUAAUCUUAAGGCUUCUCCUUCAUUGUUUCCAAAUGGUUCUCACAAGCCUUUAUUUGAUAGCAGUGCUGUGGCUCAUUGUAAUGAUGAUGGUCUUGGCACAGAAGACAUGGCUAAUGCCGAUUUUGAAAAUUCAUCUGACAAAAGAAAAAGGCUGUACGAUGGUUUAGAUGAGGACUCUCUUGCCAAGAGGCGUGAGAGGCGCCGUCCUCUUCUUCAAGUGCUGGAGGAUAGUACAGAGGUACUUGUGCCUCAUUCUAAGGCUGAUGGUAGUUCUAAUAUUACCUCUAUGUCCGAAUAUCAGAAGCCAGGGGGUACAAUUGGUGUAACCAGGAACAGAUACACUUGUUUGCAACCUACAGAUUUGUGCAAAGAAGAUAACAUGCGGUCUGCAGAGGAUACUGAAACUGAUUCUUCGGAGACCGAUUCUAUGGAUUCUGAUACAGAUGAGCUGGCUUCACUUUCAGAAGGUGCUGCAUCUAUUGAGUUGCAACCAAAAUAUCCUCGAAGAUCUGAAGUACUAGCAGAAAGUAGAAGCGUAAGCAGUGAAGAACUAGAUGACUUGGCACUUGGAGAUGAUUUAACUCAUCCUUGUAGUAUUGACCCUGCAUUACAUAGUACGGGCAUGUCCAGAUGGCAGCUUAAGGGAAAGAGGAGUCUGCUAAAAAGGCCCGUUGAUGGAGCAGACAGAAAUUUGUCCUGGGGAUCCAUUGAGGAAACAACACCUUUUGAAUUGGAAACAAAUGGCCGAGCUGAAAAUUACUUGGUCGAGAAGAAUUCUACGCAUAAGAUGGCUGGAUAUGGGUCUAGAGGUCCAGAUGGUAUAAGCCGCAGAACCAUGCAGUGGCAGCACUGUGAUUGGAAUGACCAACAAUACUGGGAGGACUCGGGCAAGUACUUUGCUCCCGUCUUUCUUGGUCAUCACCAUGAUGGUAGCAGGGUUAUGUUGAUAGAUGUCGAUUUGAAUGUCCAAUCAAGCUAUCAAAGACAGCAUGUCAAAUCAGGCAAUCAAAGACAGCAUGUCCCUAUGAUCUCAUUGAUGAGUAAGAUAAAUGGGCAGGCUAUAGUAGGGUAUCCCGUCCAAGUUGAAGCUCUAGAAAAUGGAUCAUCUGAGUCUGUCCUUGCAGAAACUGAUGAUUGGGGUCCUGAAACACCAGGAAAUGAAACAGCACUUCCACCAACAUGGAGGACUGCUCGGAGGACAGCAAAUUUUCGGGUCCCACGGCCAGAUCUAUCUUCAACAUGUGAUGAAAGUGCCAAGCAUCUUCAAUUUGUUGAUGGAAGAAGAGGGUGCUCAGGGAAAUCAGAUGCAGGAACUUUUGGUCACAAGGGAGGCAUAAUGGAAAAGCACACAAGUAGCAUUCCAGUAGAUAGAAAAUCCUCAAGGAAGCCAUUAAAGAAAAUAAGCCUAUCUUCGAAUCAAAAGAUUAGAACACUUUCAUCAAUCGCCUCUCAACAGAAACAAAGUAUUGAUCGUAGACAGAGCAGCAAUAAUUUUCAAGUGGAUGGGCUGAAACCAGAGUUGGUGUCCACAGCUGUAGCUUGUAUUCCAGUUAAACUAGUGUUCAGUAGGUUACAAGAGGAGUUGGUUGGCCGCCAUCCAUGAUAAUGGUUUUGGAAUUUCUCUAUGGCAAUGGAGAUGGCAAUACAGACAGCAAUAGCUAAUAGUUUCUGUAGCAGGCCUUGAACUACAGAUUGACGCAAGAUGUAUGGUAAAUGACAUAUAUUAGGUGACUUUAGUUCAGGAUGAUGAGAUGAUACAGCUAUUUUUACAUGGUCUUUGUUGAAACAAGGUCGAAAGCUCGCCUGUACGAGUAGAACUCACAAAAGUAUAGAAAUGCGAUCUACUUGGCAGUGAAGCAAUCUGGAAGGUCUUGCACGGUUGUGACGCAGUAGAACCGUUGAAGAGAGACGAAGGACGUAGCAAUAGUCGAGCAUGCAACUUUGACACAUUCUAGAAAUGACCUUGACUUGAGCCUUGACCACGGAAAGAAAUGGUAACCUUUUGAGUUGAUAGAACAAACAAAAGCUAUGACAGGAACAUGUCAACGAAAGUUCACUUUGCGCUGGUUAGAAAAUUAAACAGGAAGACUUGAGUGAAAAUCAUCUUGAACAUACCCAAGUUGAAAACUGUAGGGCUCUAAAAGUGAACUUUGAUAUGCUCCUGUUGUUUGCUCAGAGUUAACAUUGGGGGGUAGGACCCGUAAAGGAAGAGUCUAAGGUAGAGAGAAUAGGAACGAAAAUGGGCAGGUAAAAUUCUAUAUUUUAUUCAAGUAUUAGGUUAUUUUCAUAUUACACGACUAAAAGGUUCUUGUUGGGUGGGUUUGAUAUUGAUGAAAGCCUCAGAUAACCUAACAAGGUUUGGUAAGAAAUCUUUAAAAACUUGAAUAAUAUUUGCAACUUGGAAAGUUCAUUUUCUUGUUUUUCCCUUGUACCAGUACCCUUAAUUAACAAAAUGGUUGGGAGGAGGGGGAUUGGGUAAUUGGGAUUUAUAUAUGCUCUUCUCAUAUGAUUUUUCACCAUUUUUCAAAAAUCCUAAUUAUCAAUUGUUGAAAAAUUGAGUUGGGAGAUUGGUAAAAGGGGGAUUUUACCGCCGUUAAAACAGAGGAUGGAAGGGUGGAAGAGCAAUAAAAAGAAAAGGAUGAGAAGAGGAGGAUAGCAGGAGAGAUGAAUUUUGUUUAACAAUGA